GCCAACGAUCAUACCACGUUGAAUACACCAGUUCCUAUCAGAUCACUGAAGUUAAGCAACGUCGGGCGUGGUCAGUACUUGGAUGGGUGACCGCUUGGGAACAUUACGUAUCGUUGGCUCUU
rnacentral:rRNA from 1 species